rnacentral:lncRNA from 1 species
AAAGAGCGAACCCAAGAAAUGGAGGAGAAGGCCAAGGAGGCUGCUGAGAAAGCAAAGCACAGGACUGAAAGCGUGGCUGAAAGGGCAGCUGAGAAGGCCAAAGAAGGGAAAGACUGGGCAGCGGAUACAGCGCAAGAAACUAAAGAGAAGGCCAAGGAUAGAGCUGAUGAAAUGAAGGAGAAGACUGAAGACACGGCUUAUGAAAUGAAGGAGAAGACUAAGGGGACGGCCGAAACGGUGGCCGAGAAGACGAAGGAAGGGGCGUAUAAGGUGGUGGAAACGGCCGAGACUGUUGGGGAGAAGGCUAAGCAGACUAUGAAGGAUGCUUGGGGAGCUGCAAAGGAGACUACUCAGAAGAUUAAAGAAACUGUGGUUGGCAAGGAUGAUGAUGAUGAUAAGGACCGUGUUGA